CAGCUACCCAGCAAUGGGAUGCGAAUCUCGAAAGCCUGUCUCAGUUCGGAUUGGAGGCUGAAACCCGCCUCCAUGAAGUUGGAUUCGCUAGUAAUCGCGCAUCAGCCAUGGCGCGGUGAAUACGUUCCCGGGCCUUGUACACACCGCCCGUCAAGCCAUGGGAGCCGGGGGUGCCUGAAGUUCGUGACCGCAAGGAGCGACCUAGGGCAAAACUGGUGACUGGGGCUAAGUCGUAACAAGGUAAC
rnacentral:rRNA from 1 species